rnacentral:rRNA from 1 species
UACAGAGGGUGCGAGCGUUGUUCGGAAUUAUUGGGCGUAAAGAGCUUGUAGGCGGUUUGUCGCGUCUGCCGUGAAAUUUCGAGGCUCAACCUCGAACUUGCGGUGGGUACGGGCAGACUAGAGUGUGGUAGGGGAGACUGGAAUUCCUGGUGUAGCGGUGAAAUGCGCAGAUAUCAGGAGGAACACCGAUGGCGAAGGCGGCCCCCUGGGCCGGCCCUGACACUGAGACGCGAAGGCGUGGGGAGCGAACGGG